GACGAACGCUGGCGGCGUGCCUAAUACAUGCAAGUUGAGCGCUGAAGGUUGGUACUUGUACCAACUGGAUGAGCAGCGAACGGGUGAGUAACGCGUGGGGAAUCUGCCUUUGAGCGGGGGACAACAUUUGGAAACGAAUGCUAAUACCGCAUAAAAACUUUAAACACAAGUUUUAAGUUUGAAAGAUGCAAUUGCAUCACUCAAAGAUGAUCCCGCGUUGUAUUAGCUAGUUGGUGAGGUAAAGGCUCACCAAGGCGAUGAUACAUAGCCGACCUGAGAGGUGGACAGCCACAUUGGGACUGAGACACGGCCCAAACUCCUACGGGAGGCAGCAGUAGGGAAUCUUCGGCAAUGGACGAAAGUCUGACCGAGCAACGCCGCGUGAGUGAAGAAGGGUUUCGGAUCGUAAAACUCUGUUGGUAGAGAAGAACGUUGGUGAGAGUGGAAAGCUCAUCAAGUGACGGUAACUACCCAGAAAGGGACGGCUAACUACGUG
rnacentral:rRNA from 1 species